UACGUGAGGGGCGAACGUUGUUCGGUGUCACUGGGCUUAAAGGGUGCGUAGGUGGCUUCGUAAGUAAGGAGUGAAAUCCCUCGGCUUACCCGGGGAACUGCUUUUUAUACUGCGAGGCUUGAGGAUCAGAGGGGAAAGAGGAACUCCGAGUGUAGCGGUGAAAUGCGCAGAUAUUCGGGGGAAGGCCGGCGGCGAAGGCGUCUUUCUGGCUGAUUCCUGACACUGAGGCACGAAAGCGUGGGGAGCAAACAGG
rnacentral:rRNA from 1 species